rnacentral:lncRNA from 1 species
GUGAUAUCCACAUCAUGGGUACUACCAAGAUUUUCCUGCUCCUUCUCUCAGUGGCCCUGUUGGCCCUGAGCUCAGCUCAAGGAACACCCAAGGAAGCCCCAAGACAGCAACCUGCUGAACCUGAACCAGGGGAUUUCCUGGAUAAAAAUUUCAAGCAGCCCCAAGGCAACAAACUAGGAAAAGUAAAGACGCAGAAGAGCCAGGCGACCCACCUGAAGGAGAACCAGGCGAACCACCUGAAGGCGAACCACCUGAAGGCGAACCACCUGAAGGAGAACCAGGUGCACCACCUGAAGGUAAGUAAUAUGUCUAUCUCUAAACACUCCUUUCUUUCCCCGUUCCUUGAGGACCCUAGACCUUGUCUCUCAUUUGAAACCAUUUGGCACAUCCACUCUUAAAGUUCAGUACCAAGAAAGAGAGGGUAAUAAUGAACUAAGAGGGUGGUCAGCUUAAAAGGCUUUGUUUUCUCUUGCCAUUGCAUAGCUCUCAUAUUUCCACCAGAGAUUUUUCCAGAUCAAAAAUUCAAAAUUAUUUUGCCAUCUUUUCCCAAAGCAUAGUUUGCUUUUUUCCAUUGCCUAAUAUCCUAGAUCAAACAUUUCAAGAUCACUUUGUAAUAUUUAAUGCAAUGUUCUCUUCAUGUCUCUGCAGUGUGGGUAUUUCUCUCUCUCUUUCUCUGUGUUUUCACAGUCCCUCUGUGUCUGGUCUUUCUCUGAAUUGAUAUCUUUAUCUCUCUGUCUCUGUCUCGCUUUUUCUCUGCCUUUGUCUCUCCCUCUGUCUCUCUCUCUUUCACACACACACACACACACACACACACACACCCAUACACACACACAUAUUCUCUGUAUCUCUCUCUCUCCCUUGUACUUUCACCUUUGAAAAAGUGAAAUUUCAGAAAGCAAAAGAGGAAAAGAAGGAAAUGUAAUAUUAGCAAUUCAAACAGACAAAUGCGUAUUGAAAAUAUUUGUACCUAAAACACAAAAUUAAGAAAUAUUACAUCCUGGACAUAAUUUCCCCCUUUACACAAAGGCUCUUCACUUCUUCUAAGGAAGGAGCCAUC